AAUUUUGACUUUUAAAUCAAUUACGCCCGCCAAUAAUUGCAACCCAAGUCCUUGUACUUUUGGUACUUAGCAUUUUGGUCCCAACUUCACAAUUUUGUAUGCUUUUAGUCCCUUUUCACUUCCUUUUGCCUUGUUCUACUACAUUGGGUGAAUUUUACCUACAAAAACAAUAAGUACAUAAUUGUGAAUGGAAAAUCGCUCAUUUAAUCAAUAUUUAAGCUUAUUUCAACAUUAAACGAGUGUGCAAAAACACAAUUAUUAAAUACCUCCUAACUUAAACUCCCGAGCAAGAUUAUUUACUACACAAUCAUGUAACACAUGAUAAAGAUUAACAAUAUUAAAUAGUUUGCAUAAAAAUCAAUGAGUGUAAAAUUGUAUAAUCAAUUCACAAAUAUGCCCAAAUAAUGCCAGCAAAAAUAAUUUAAGCUUAUCCAAUGUUCGAUUGGGGGGUGUGUGUGUGUGUGCGUGUGUGCAAAGUCACUUUCAGUUAUUAUCUAUAUUAGGAAAAAGUUGUCAAGAAGGAAAAAUCUUCAAAUUGGCUUCAACCCGACCCUUUGUGGUCAAAUAUUUCCUUUUUUACUCGUGAGAUUCACACUAAAAUAGAUAUUUAUUUUGCUUCUUGAAGUGUAAAUCUAAGGUUGCUCUAGUUUGGUUGGGUCAACUGGCAAUCUCAAUAUCCAGUCAUAUGAUGAUUCUCCGCUAAUGAAUGCUUCCACAUUCAAACUUAUACUAAAUAAUUCAAAAACUCACUAGUUAUCUAAGCACAAAUAUUAAAUGCAAUUGCACAAUAAUAAUUAAUUUAUUUUAGCCAAAUCCUAUGUUUUGCCUCACUUCCUUAAACUUUCUUCUUGACUCUUGUAAUGAGUUUUAGGUCGAUAACUCCCCGAUUGUUUAGGCCAAAGGAUAUN
rnacentral:lncRNA from 1 species